CCUGCGGACGACGUGUCUACGGACCAUUUUUGCAAUAUUGCGAAUCUCUCCGAUCACAAAGGGUUUUUCUUGGUCUGAUUUCCUUUCUCGAAGAGGACAAUUAUCUUCGAAAGAUCCCACUAUUGAAGUUAUAGUCCUGUUGACAUUGUCGUCAAUGUCUUCCAUGCUUGGUCAAUCUAAAUUAUAUUGCCCAAAUCUUCUUCUGAUUGGUCCUCCGAAUUUUGUCCAGUAGCUUUGCAACUUAUUACGUUUUAUUGGGGAAGUACUAAAUUCACAGUGAGCGUGUAAUAUUUCGUUCCACUCUAGUGAAUUACCCACUUUUUGAUGUAAAAGUCAAUUUAUUUAAAAAACUAUAUUCAGCUGUGGUUGACAUAUAACGAGGUCAGCCUUGACGAAAAACGAGAAAACGUGUUGAGAAGCACUUUCCCACUUUUCAACAAUUAAAGGAGUUUGGAAAUUUGGAGUUUCUUUAUAGAUAAGAAGCAAUGAAUUUCCCAAUUUACUUUUUAAUCCUUUUCAAUGGCAGCCCCAACUUUAAAUCAAAGGCCCUUUAACGGAUGAACCGAUUCAUAACAAUGGAAGCGAGUGGAGCCGACAUACACAAAAUCCCCAAAUGUCCAACAUAACAAUCGUUAACUAUCCCCCGAAAUCCAUGCAAUUUUCAACGUCCCUCUCGUCGAUCUCGUUGAAGCCCGUCCGCUAUUCCCUCCAAACCGAUCCACACUAUCCCUCCAACCCAGCCUGCUCCCACCCAAUCUCCUCUCUCACAGGCUCCUCCUUUUUUACUCUCUCUAUCCCCCUCCUACCAACCGUUAUUUACGCAAUCCCAUAGUAGCCGGUUGUACGUAUCGGAUGGACCCGAUGAAGUCCUUCAUCGGCAAGGGCUGCCGCCUCAGUGUACAACACACUGCUACAACAACAAUAACCGUUAUUUACACUGCCCCCUCACUUCACUUCCUCUAAAUGGGCCAAUUCAAAAAUUAAUUGGAUCAAUUAAAAAUUAAUCGGCGCAAUUUAAAAAUUAUUUGGAUCAAUUAAUUAGGUGACUGAAACCGAUUUUUAUUUUCUGUAUGUGAUGAUGUUCUGUGUAUGAUGUUCUGAGUAAGCACUUAUCAAAUUGAUCAAAUUCA
rnacentral:sRNA from 1 species